AUAACUACAAAGCAUGCGCGCGCAACAGGUCGUUUCCGUUUAUUUUUGGGUCCCCCUUCGUAUAUGGUACUUGGAAAGCCAUGUGAAAUUCGUGGACCAAUUUACCUUGUUCUGCAAGCACUGCAAUUUCAGAAGGUGGGUAUCUGCCACAAACUUCCAGGCGGAGGAAGCGUAAGUCAUUACUGAUCUAAUUAGUGCAUUAUGGAGGGUUAAUUUAAUGUUUGCGCUUAGAUGCUUGCUUUUGAAUAUGGAGUACUUUCUAAUAAAUAUUCUGAAGGGCUUGAAUUCAAUCAUUUCUGUGUGCAGUCUUUGUGUAAUAAUCUUAUAGAAGAUUACGCCCAUAUGAUUUACAUGAUUGGAGAAGGGAUACUCCAUCCCUUCAAUCUAAGAUGAUCCUCAGGGGCCUGUCAGAGUCACGGUCGAAGUUGGUGUACGACUGGCAGUUUACUGCCAAUCAGUUUGUCUUGGCACCGAGCCACUUGAGACUCAUGAACUGAGAUGUUUUUUUUUUUCAACUGAACUCUUGCAGUGAUAGUCCUUAUGUAAACAUCCUCUGUGAUGAGAGGAUGGGUUUGUCUCUUAUGAAUAAUCCUCACCUUUGUCAAGUCUACGUAUCCCACAUAUUGCAUGUUAUUGAAAAUUCUUCCCUUUGCACCACUAUAUGCAAGUCUUCUGUCAAUCCAGGCCUUGUAAAGCAGACCAUGCUGAUUGUACAUAUCUUAUGCUACAAUGGCAGCUUUGUCACUUGAACGGUUGUAAGCUUGAUCGCCAGCAAGUUCAAGCCUCUUAUAUUUUCUGUGUCAGGCAUCACCUUUUUCGAUGUCACGAACAUUUGCAUUUUCAAGAUUUUGUAUACCCUCUGCUUGUUGCCCUCACAAUUUCGUUAUAUAAUAAUAAACAUACAGUACUUGGAAAGCUGUGUGGAACUCACAGAUCUGUGUUCUCCUUGUAAAUUUAGCAGUUGUGCAGGGAACCUUGUUUUGCAAGCACUGGAAUUACAGAAGUUGGUUAUCUGUUGCAAAUUCUCGGAUGGGGCAAGUGUAAGUCAUUACUAAUCCGAUAGUGCCUUAUGGAAGGUUUUUUUAAUACUGGCGCUUAAAUGUUAUUUUUUUAAUAUGGAGUACUUUCUAAUAAAUGUUAAACAGCCUUGGCUUCAGUCGUUUCUGUGUGCAAUCUCCAUGUAUUUCUCUUAUUGAAGAUUACACCGAGAUAUUUUACAUGAUUAAUGAAGGGGAUAUUUCAUUCAUUCACUGUAAGAUGAGCCCCAGGGGAUCUAAGUCUGUGAAAAUGUAGAUGACAUGAAUCUUCAUCGAUUCUUAAGUUCCAGCGCUCACGCCACAUCUCAGUGGGACUGAGACCUUACAGCAGCUUUCUGAGAACAUAACCCAUAUUUGGUCUAUUACAUAUAUACAGGUGUCAUCAGCAAAGAAAUCUAGAUAGACACUAGGUGUUGUGGGCAUAUCAUUUAUAUAUUGUCACAUGUAUGGAUGACUUAUAAGACUUCGGAUUGGAUUUAUUUCUCACUCCUUGAACAAUCGUUUGUAAUCUCAUUAAAUUAAAAUAACAAUAAAUCUUCAACUGAACCCUUCUCUCAUGAGUACCUAGGACUCACUUCAUUCUGAUGUAACUGGAGCCAGAGUCAGUCACGCUUAUAUAUCCUCAAGUGGACUUCAUAGAAAGCACAUCCAUUGCCUAGCAGUGGCGUCUACUAUUGUUACGUAUUAUAGACUUUACCUAGCAACAGGCUGUUUAUCAAGAAUCUGUCUCCACAGGAACACAUUUAUCGAGCUGUUUCCUAGCUGUGGAUCUGUAUGCCACAAUAUACAAGGACUGACAAUAAAGUUCGCGAACUCACCACUGUCUGUUUCCUAUGGCAGCAGUGGCCAGAAACCUCAGUAUGGUUUGAUGUUGGCAUAUCAGCGUUUCACAGCUGUAUCGUUGUCGAUCUUUGGCAGUCUCCUUCUGAGUGGCAUCUAUUAUUGUCUGAGCAUGUUUUGGUUUGCUGUCAUGAGAAUGUCAGAAUGAACAUUAAAUUUCUUGUUAAACAUGGCAAGAGUAGAAGCGAAAUCAGAGAGAUGGUCCCAUAGGACAUGCUUAUACGUCACUGUGAGGAAGUUUUUAGCUAGUAAACAAAUAACUGUGCUGGAACACCCUCCCUAUUCACCAGAGCUAUCCCCCCAGUGACCUUUUUCUAUUCCCGAAGAUAAAGGAAAUAUUGAAAGGAAGACAUUUUGAAAGCAUUGAUUACAUCAGGAGUAAUACAACAGCAGCUCUUAAGACCAUUCCACAAAAACAGUUCCAAAAUUGUUUUGAAGGGUGGACUAGGCACUGGCAUUGGUGCAUAGCUCCCCAAGGGGAGCACUUUGAAGGCAACCCCAUUGAUAUUCAGAAAUGAGGUGUGUAGUACUUUCACCACGACGAUUUCAGAGAACUUUAUUGUCAGACCAUGCAUACUGUAUAAUGUGGGACAGGACGAUCAUUGUGACAUUCUUGCUUUUAUAUCCUUGGCCUAGACAUUUUACCUUUGACCGAAACUCUGAAUUUUCUAUGAGACAGAAAUUACCUAAUAAGUUUGAUUAGACUGAUCAGAAAUUUUAAGUUAGAUAAUUUAUGUAGCAAGCCAGGAUGUCGUGUAUCAAAGGCUUUAUCAGUAUUGUUGUAUAUGGUGACACCUGAUAUAGAUUAUUGUAUAAGGCAUGGUGAUGCUUACUAUAAACUAUGGUAUAUGUUAAUACCCAUGUGGUAUAUGGGGAUAUAUAGUAUGAAAUGAAUUGUUUUAUUGAUAUAAUAUGUUAUAUUGUAAUAUUAGAAAUAGACUGUACCUCAUGUAUACACAGUAUGAGGAAUCGAGUGUACCAACAGGAAAUAUUAAGGGAUUAACUUCGGGAAGGAUCAAAAGAUUAGAACUUUGUCCUUCACCGAUGCUGUCACGAGAACGAUGCUUGUUUCUCACUAAGAAUAGAACAGCUGUGGACCCUCCGAAAACUCAAGAGGGUGAUGAUGCAAUGAAUGACGUUAGUCAGAUUACUUCAGAAGGGUAACGCCCUAACUGGACCAGAUAUAUACCACACGGGACGUAAAUAAAGGUGCUUUUUGAUAUCGACACUGCCUGAGCUAUCCAUUAAGUGGAGCAGGUGCUGUCAGAUACCAGGAGUCGGCCACUGCCCAUUGCUGAGGCAGACCACUGAUUUCUUACCAACAGGUUCCUCUCUCUGAUUUUGUACAGUAUCAAUAAAUGUAUUUAACAUCAAGUUGCAGUACUCUCACACCCCGCACUGACUCCCAAGGGAACCGCUCGCCCUGCCAACCUGCAAUCUAUCCCAUCCCCGGGAUACAACAUUGGUGUCAGGCCUGUGUGGUAGCUGCAUCCAGAGACUGAACCCAGUACGUCGCCAAGGGAGAAAGAGGUAUACCAGGUGGGAUAUCAUCUUUCAGAAGACGUCAAGUGAACGGUAAGAAAAUUCCAGUGGUACUACAACUCAUUGACUGAGUGAAGGCUCAUUAACUGGGCAGCCGAAGAGAUAUUCAGCAGAAGGAAGAAAUUAAUUAUUGUUCGAGUAUAGAGCCAGCCAAUAGUGGCGAGAAGAAUAUUUAGAAUUCAAGUCCUGAGAGUUGGACUGAAAAUAUAAAAGUGGAAUAAGCGACCAACCCGUCUAAAAGUGGCGACCCUUCCAUAAAUAACUUAACUAAUAAGAACUGAAUUUUACAGCUGAAAAGGAAAGGCCAGCGGAGAACAAGUUAACAUCCCGAUCCAGCGAACGAGAAAGUAGGUCAACAACCUCCAGCCGUUGAGUUAUACUGCAGAGGAACCCCAACAGGGUGAUCUGCACGCCAGCGCUACGGAAGACCGGCCGCAAAAUUCACCACCCCUACACGUCAUUGAGAAGGCAACAGAAACGGAGAGUGAUGAGUGGGACAUGUGCUGAAAUUGCAAACUCGAUGUAGUAAAUUCAGUAGUUUCGUGCCUGAAGGGUUGGAUGUAGAGCAUUCAGAUCUGCCAGAAGCGACUCAUGUCUAAAGGUUAAUGGCUCAAGGAUGUCUGCAUCAUUCGAGGAGUGGCCUGAAUUUCCUGUUGUGGCAGAUGGCUGCUACAUGGAGUGCCGCACUUUUUUCGCAUCUGUCUGCUGUGCCCAUGGCUGCUGCUGUUUUGUGUCCUGUUGCAGUGCAGCUGCAUAGGACUGCUCUGGUGAGGUGAACUUAGCUCGAUAUUACGCUGGAUGAGGUCUUAUGUCCUACUAGAAGCUAACUGUGGAAGCUGAAUGUAGAUUCCAUAUUUUAGGGCAUUCCCAAUGCAGGUGGCCACCACCGCACUAUAAAACAUCGAGGGGGUUGGUUGCAGUUAGCCCAGACAUGUCUGAAGUUUUGGCAAUUGUAGCACUCUGUAAGGCCAGUGUGAGCUCUGUAUAACUCUACCUUGUUAAUAAUAUGUUUACAGUUGUUCAGCUUGAAUAUCUCUUGAGAUUUUAUGUUUCUUGUUAAGGCAACAACAAAUAGAGGUAGGAGUUCCACAUCGGUUUGUCCACUGGGUGCUAUUCGAGUGGCUGUCAUUUGCUUCACAUUGAUGACUUUGAAGCCUAAUUACUCAUGGCCGUUCGAAAUGGCUUCUGCUGGUGUGUAUGGGGGAAGGUGACGGAUUACUGCCAUGAUGGGUGUUUUGGAAUUUGGGGAGAAGUCGAAUGAGGUUUGUGGUACACGUCAUCCUUAUAGGUGGUGGCCUUCCAGGUUUUCUGGGAGUCUUCUGCUCCAUUAAUACAUUCUCUCCACCAGUAGUUCUGAGAAGUGUGAGCGAGUGAACACAGCUUUUGGAGGCAGCUUGACAGCUGCAUAUGUUGACACUGGUCUAGUCGACUUCUUGGCUCUCUUUGAGGUACAAGUAUUAUUAGGAAUAUGCCUCUUGUGUCUUUUUACUUCCUGGAAGUCAUUGUCCUGGGCCAUUGAUUCUACUGAGGUUUUGUUCACUGUACCACUUUGUCCUGCCUGUGCACUCACCUUUAGGAUGUCCUUCAGUUCAUUCAGUAUUACUGUUUACAUGCUGUAAAGAACACCAAAAAGCGGCUUCGAUCUAGAAAUUUACAAGAGUUUGAUCUGUUCUCUGUGCUGUUCACAACAGAAUUCCACUGAGAGCUUUUCUCCACUUUAGCCGGUGUGUAUUUGGCAAAGUUAUCAAUUCCACUGAGUACUUUACAUACUUGUUGCACUACAGUAGCUGCAUCUGGGUAUUCAUGAUGGCAUAACAUUCAGAUUUCAGUGACGCUAGCUUCUGUGUCUGGUAUUUAAAAAAUCCAUGUACUGGGACAUCCGUUGUCUUGGUGGACACUCAGAUUCACCGCUUGUUUUGUUGCAUCGCACAGCAUUGUGCACAACUGCGGCCGAGUGGCGAACUUCAUUGACACUGCCUUGACCAGUCAGGACUUGGCCAUGAACACACUACGUAAAGUGAAGUCUUCAAAAACCACUCUGUGCAACACACGUUUUAUUCAGAUUACUGAAUCCAAUGAAGACCUGGUGUAGCUGACCUACUGUGCGACUGUGAACUCAGUAGCUCACUCGGCCUGUGCUUCUCAAACUCUGCUAAAUCCUCCAUUCUCCUAACUGAAGUCUUUACUAACUACUCCUAACUCUUAACUCUCCAACUCACUCACUCCAGGGGGUCUCGUUAUAUAGCCUCAGCACAGACCACAUAGAAAUAACCGUGUCCUCUACUGUUGCAUCAAUAUGAUACCGCAGAAAUGUGUUUACUUUGCCACUGCCCAGCAAUGAAAACCUCUACUUGUACCAGCACUCCAGUUUUCAGCAAUCAUAUCGCAUUGAUCCCUAUUCGUCCUGAGUAGCCUACAGAUGUAUUACAAUUUAUUCUCCAAGGGGAUAUGCCUGUGACAUCUGUGAUCACUAUGAACAGUAUCUCCACUUCGUGCUGCCCUCGACAUUUCUGCUUCAGGUCUCAAAGGCGUACAGCUUUCAUUCCUUGUGGGUUGGGUAUUGCACUGCUGCAAUGAUGGCCUCUGCUAAUUCCACUUUGUCACACUUAUGUUCGAGAAAAUUGCAAUGUUAAGGAAAAUAACAGUAUGUUCCACCACUGCAAAAUAUUUAGCAGUAGAAGCUGUGCCCCAACAUACCCUGACAUACGAAUCAGUUUAAUUUUAUCAGUGUCACAAAAGGAGAAUACAUCUUAAUAGGUCUGUUAUUAACAGUUUGAGGACUGGUCGCAUGAUAUCAUGCUUUUGGCUUUUAAACGUGGCAGACCAGUCGCAUGAUAUCAUGAUUUUAGGACACGUUAGGUUGUAACACACUAUACCUUGCUCUGGUGCCACCCAAGUUGCACGCAGCUGCAUAAUAAAACUGUGGAAUAUUUGCUUACUUGUCAGUAACUUGACCUUGCUGUUUUCUUAACCCACUCUAAAGGAAAAUGCUUUGGUGGUCUUCAGGUUGUAUGUAUCAGCCAGUAGUUAGUGGUGGAGUAUGGAUCAAGGACAAAUUCUUCUCCGAUGAGCUAGCUUACAUGCCUUGUGAGACGCAUAGUGAUGGUGACUCAGACAGUGGCAGUGACAGGGGACAACAAAGAAUUGUGACCACAGACAGUAAAAGUAACAGUAGCUCCGAUGAAAAUGCGGGUAAAACCAUUGUGGGGACAGCAAAAAGUCUUAAAAACAAUCACAAAAAUCUAAACCCUGAUUUGAAAUUGAAAUACAGAGCAUUUCUGAUGAAUGUGGCAAAGGCCUGGGCUACAGACCAGAUGGUGGCGGCAGAACCAGAGUCAGACACAGACUUAGUGCAACUGGGCCCAUCACCUUCCAUCCCACGCAGGCCUCAUGUGGACCCCCCAGGGCGACUCUCAGGUGAUUCAUUCAUUCAUCAGUAAUCUGUCAGA